AUUGAACGCUGGCGGCAGGCCUAACACAUGCAAGUCGAGCGGAUGACGGGAGCUUGCUCCUUGAUUCAGCGGCGGACGGGUGAGUAAUGCCUAGGAAUCUGCCUGGUAGUGGGGGACAACGUUUCGAAGGGAGCGCUAAUACCGCAUACGUCCUACGGGAGAAAGCAGGGGACCUUCGGGCCUUGCGCUAUCAGAUGAGCCUAGGUCGGAUUAGCUAGUAGGUGAGGUAAUGGCUCACCUAGGCGACGAUCCGGAACUGGUCUGAGAGGAUGAUCAGUCACACUGGAACUGAGACACGGUCCAGACUCCUACGGGAGGCAGCAGUGGGGAAUAUUGGACAAUGGGCGAAAGCCUGAUCCAGCCAUGCCGCGUGUGUGAAGAAGGUCUUCGGAUUGUAAAGCACUUUAAGUUGGGAGGAAGGGCAGUAAGCGAAUACCUUGCUGUUUUGACGUUACCGACAGAAUAAGCACCGGCUAACUCUGUGCCAGCCGCCGCCGUAACAC
rnacentral:rRNA from 1 species